CUCCCAAAGAAGGAGAUAGCCGCUCUAAGCGUGAUCCGGAGCGUUACCACCUGUUUUGACACAAUAAGAUCAGAACAUAUCCUCAAGCAACCAUGUGCACACAGCAAGUAAAGCACCCAUAUAGCCCAACCCGUCAAACAAGCGACGAUGGUAAACAUCACCUAGGUUAACCGCAGCAGUGCUGCUUCACUUUUUUGUAUCUUUAAAAUUACAAAAGAUAUGACAGCAAGCAAAUACAUCUUAGAAAACUAAGGGAGAAAUCUUACAACUUUGUUCAGAUCCUUUAUUUUUAGCCUAAUCCAAAGAGGGGUAAAAUUGCAGUUGAAUGUGAAGUACAGAAUCUGUCUGAAAUUUCGGGCAGCAGCAUACAAAAAUUCAUAUCUCCCAAACCCCUUGUCCAAAAAUUCUAAAAUUUUGUCAGGACAUAUAUCUCUGAGAAACCUAAAACUUUGUUAUUAUGGUUUUCCACGAAUUCCAUCCUUAAGAUCAUCUAAUACAUCUCUGAACAUCUGCUGUCAAAAAUCUGGACAUUCAGAAACAGCGUCCAAACAAUAUUCAAUAACUGAAGGUAUACUCCACCAAAAAAUAUGAAACUUGGACAGCAGUUACAUCUCAUAAUUCUCUACAACUUUGGUAUAAUCCACUUUUGGAGGAGAAAUCGUUUAGGUCGCCAAAACUACAAGGACAGCAGCACUGCCCGAGCUACAGGACAGCACACCUUAAAUCGACCUUCGAACCGUGUUUUCCCCAACAAAUCCACUAAUCCUCAGGACCAAGAACCUCCUAAAAACAUCAAUUAGCAGAUCUAAAGUGGAUUCACCUCACCUUGGUUGUUCCCCAAACCCUAGGGCAGCGGGAAGAUAUGGGGAAAGGACCGAUCUACAUGGAAGAUGCACCUUUCUUGCUCCUCUUGUUGUCCUCGAUCCGUUUUGCUAGUUUCCCCCAAGGGUUUGCUGCUGUAGAGAGGGGAUUUAGGGAGGGGAAGCCAUGGGAGAGCAGGGAAGGAGGAAGAAACGUGAGAAGGAAGAGAGGACCGGUCUGGAUAAGAUGGGUGGGGGGGGCAACGGGCCAGGGAAAAGGGUUGGGCUGGCUGGGCCUUUGAUUUUUUUUUUAGUGUGUUACAUUCUCCCCUCCUUUAAAGAAUUCGUCCCCGAAUUUAACUACUCAAAGGUAUACCAACUUGAUAAAUUAAAACUUACCGCUCUCAAAGAGUUGUGGGUACUUCUUGCGCAUUUGGUCCUCGAGCUCCCAAGUCGCUUCACGCUCAGACUGAUUACUCAUAGAACCUUGACAUAUUUGAUGGUCCUCUUUCUCAUGACUCGCUCGGAUGAGUCUAAGAUACGUUCUGGGUGACAUUCCACAAU
rnacentral:lncRNA from 1 species